CCUACGGGUGGCUGCAGUGGGGAAUAUUGGACAAUGGGCGCAAGCCUGAUCCAGCAAUGCCGCGUGUGUGAAGAAGGCCUGCGGGUUGUAAAGCACUUUAAGCAGGAAAGAAGGGGUGGAAGUUAAUACCUUUCAUCAUUGACGUUACCUGCAGAAUAAGCACCGGCUAACUCCGUGCCAGCAGCCGCGGUCAUACGGAGGGUGCAAGCGUUAAUUGGAAUUACUGGAGGUGGUGCGCUCGUUCCCGGUUGAAAGCCCCGGGCUUAACCUGGGAACUGCGGUGGAUACUGUCGAGCUAGAGUGUGGUAGAGGGGAGUGGAAUUUCCGGUGUAGCAGUGAAAUGCGUAGAGAUCGGAAGGAACACCAGUGGCGAAGGCGGCUCCCUGGACUAACACUGACGCUGAGGUGCGAAAGCGUGGGGAGCAAACAGGAUUAGAUACCCUAGUAGUC
rnacentral:rRNA from 1 species